rnacentral:rRNA from 1 species
CCUCUUGCAAGACCAAUGAAUAAGAGGUCCCGCCUGCCCUGUGACUAUACGUUUAACGGCCGCGGUAUUCUGACCGUGCGAAGGUAGCGCAAUCACUUGUCUUUUAAAUGGAGACCUGUAUGAAUGGCACCACGAGGGCUUAGCUGUCUCCCUUUCCCAGUCAAUGAAAUUGAUCUCCCCGUGCAGAAGCGGGGAUAAGAACAUAAGACGAGAAGACCCUAUGGAGCUUAAGACGCCAGAACAGCCCACGUCAAGUACCUCCUAAUAAAGAAAAUAAACCAAGUGGAUCCUGCCCUAAUGUCUUUGGUUGGGGCGACCGCGGGGAAAAAUGAAACCCCCAUGUGGAAUGGGAGUACUAUGCUCCUAGUUCCAAGAGCUCCCGCUCUAAUAAACAGAACUUCUGACCAACAAGAUCCGGCAAUGCCGAUCAACGGACCGAGUUACCCUAGGGAUAACAGCGCAAUCCCCUUAAAGAGCCCUUAUCAACAAGGGGGUUUACGACCUCGAUGUUGGAUCAGGACAUCCUAAUGGUGCAGCCGCUAUUAAGGGUUCGUUUGUUCAACGAUUAAAGUCCU